CUUGCAAUGUAGAAUACCAACCAAUGUAACGAGAAACUAUGGUAUCAUGGCCAGAUUAUUAUUUUAGCGAACGCUUGAAUCUUGGUGCAUGUAAAGCCAUCAAUUUGUCAAAGCAAAAAUACAAAUAUUGCAAAUGAGAGCAUCCAAAGCUCAUCUCUACAGAACAAUUUCCAAAACAUAAAUUAAUAGCAGCCCCAUCCAAAUUACUUAUUUUAAAACCCUCCUCCUUUAUCUGGGCUUGGGACCAGCUGCGUAUACAAC
rnacentral:misc_RNA from 1 species